rnacentral:rRNA from 1 species
AACGAACGCUGGCGGCAGGCCUAACACAUGCAAGUCGAGCGCCCAGCAAUGGGAGCGGCAGACGGGUGAGUAACACGUGGGAACCUUCCCUAUAGUACGGAAUAGCCCAGGGAAACUUGGAGUAAUACCGCAUACGCCCGAGAGGGGAAAGAUUUAUCGCUAUAGGAUGGGCCCGCGUAGGAUUAGCUAGUUGGUGAGGUAAUGGCUCACCAAGGCGACGAUCCUUAGCUGGUCUGAGAGGACGACCAGCCACACUGGGACUGAGACACGGCCCAGACUCCUACGGGAGGCAGCAGUGGGGAAUAUUGGACAAUGGGCGCAAGCCUGAUCCAGCCAUGCCGCGUGAGUGAUGAAGCCUUAGGGUGUAAAGCUCUUUUGCCGGGGUACGAUAAUGACGGUACCCGGAGAAUAAGCUCCGGCUAACUCCGUGCCAGCAGCCGCGGUAAU